rnacentral:rRNA from 1 species
UACGAAGGGGGCUAGCGUUGCUCGGAAUCACUGGGCGUAAAGGGUGCGUAGGUGGAUUUUUAAGUCAGGGGUGAAAUCCUGGAGCUCAACUCCAGAACUGCCUUUGAUACUGGGAAUCUUGAGUUCGGGAGAGGUGAGUGGAACUGCGAGUGUAGAGGUGAAAAUUCGUAGAUAUUCGCAAGAACACCAGUGGCGAAGGCGGCUCACUGGCCCGAUACUGACACUGAGGCACGAAAGCGUGGGGAGCAAACAGG